UAGGCACCGCGCCAUAUUCAUUUUAUUUUGUAGUGUAGGCCCAUGGGUUCCAUGGUUUUCUGUGCCGUGUCGAGAAUGUGAUGAAGCGCCAGGAGUCGCCGGAGAGUAGUGACGGUUCGUCAGCCGUGGUUUGCGUGGUGCCGCCGGUGCGCCGCUCUCCCGCCGAGCCGCCCCUUCUCGUCGCCCAGUCUGCCCGCCCAGCCGAGCCUGGCGCGGCUGACGGCGCCUUAGACGGCAUCAUGUAGAACCAGCAUGGGUCGCUGGCGGCGGGCCUCGGCGCCUAUCCGGUGCACGCUGCCUACGGCGAGAACCUCUAGGUGAAGAGUGAAGGCGGCGGUGGCUCGUUGCAGUACUCUGCCGGCGCCAGCGAAGAACCGGCCUCUACCGCCGCUGGGCCGGUGCCGCACUCCUCUGCGCCCCAGGCAGACGACCGGGCCGAUCGCCUACCAGCCGAAUAUGACGGCAGCCGCCAUGGUGAUGGGUGCCGACAGCGACGGGAAGCCGCCGCCGCCGACGCCGAUGCCGGCGCUGUUCAGCCCAGCUACCACCGACUCAAGGUGGAAGACGUGCUCUCCUACCAGAACCAGGUCAAGUCCAAGUUCCAGAACAACCCACAGGUCCACAACGACUUCCUCGAUAUAAUGAAGGAGUUCAAGGCGCAAAAUAGGUACCUACACGUCUCGAUGAUGGCGCCGGGCUAGGUGACCACAGCGCGGUGCACACGCCCACUGGCGGCUUCCAGACCUACUCGGACACAGUGGUACCGACGCCGCCGCCGCAGCCCCAGCAGCAGCAGCCACCGCCACCGCCGCUGCCGACGGCGCCCGGCGCGCCGCCCAAACCGAGUCACCAGCCGCCCACCGAGGAGUAGGUAUGGCACCAACAGGCAACAACAUCCUGUCGCACGCUGUGCGGCGGCGGCCGGCGUCGGGGGCCACCACGUCACCGCGCACCACUCGUACAACCAGCCGCCGUCGUCCGCGGGACGACCCAUUCACCUCCAGUGGGUCCCCUCGCAUUGCGGCCUUCCUGGAAAUGAGAGGGCAGACACCCUGGCGGAGGAGACCUCCGCCCUGGACCAGAACUCAGACACACACCACUGGACACCAGAACGAUCCAGAGAGCAGCGGCAAGGCUGGCGCGUGCGAGGACCAGAGCGGCCUGGCCCGACGGCUGGUAUCGCCAACUGCCGGUGUGGGCUCUGUCGUGAGGAAGCAGACACCUCGGCCCACGCGCUGAUGCGGUGUCCCGCCCUGGUGCAACUGCCGGUUCCGAGUGCUCGGAACUAUACACCCGACCCACGAGGACCUGCGCAGCAUCGACGCAGUAGCGGCCCUGGGUGCCGCCUUCGUCCCCCUCCAGAGCCGGCAGGAUACGCCCUAGGGCUGGAGGGAAACAACAACAACAACAACAACAACAACAACAGAGGACAUGAACCCACUUAAUGUGUUCAAACGCUACCGCGACAGCCGCAAGGUGCUCGAGUACCGGACGGAGCUGUUCAGCUCGUGUUGCGAGGUGCCAUCGGCGUGGUGCCGGCGCAAUAUGAGCACGGUACGCUGCCGUGCGCCAGCUGCCUCAGUCUGCUGGCCAGCCCGGUGAGACGGCACCUCGCCGUCGCCGCCGGACGCUCAGGUGGGAUCUCUGCUGUGUUGAGCUCAGCUUGAAGUGACUUCAGUCACCCAGCAGCGACUGGAGCGGUCCGAGCGAGCCCGUGUACCGCCGCCAGUGUUUGGUCGUGUUUGGGGCCGUACGGCGCGGGUGAUCUGUACGGGCGCGGCCGUAUCUUAUGUUACGUAUCGUAGCUAAGCACGACUUGACACUGUCCACCACGGGACCCGCCCAUGUUGACGGCGUCGCAAUGUACUCAUUGAUUGACUAGUGCUGCGCGACUGCUCGGAGUUGACCAGUUAACGUUUUGUAGGCUUUAUUAUCACUGGCGGAGGCGUGGGGACUGGGGAGUGUUUUCUAUUCGUCAGUGUUUGCCGAGGCGAGGCUGCUUAAUGCCGAUUGUGACAUGUUACUAUGUAUCCUCACGUGAAGUCGUCGGGUUAUCUAACUUGGUUCAUCAAUAAAUGGUGCGACCUACAAAGUGACAAUGAGAUGAAAACGACUGAGUCAUCUUUAUGGAAUAAUGUCUGUGACGUAUGUGAAAGCAGGUCAUAUUGGUGUGCAGGUCAUACGAGGUCAACUGAGGUCACUGACCCAGGACUAAAACUGGUUAUCCUAAGAUAACUCGUAACGCUCGCAAUACACUCGUUUUUCCGCGAA
rnacentral:lncRNA from 1 species